rnacentral:rRNA from 1 species
AUUGAACGCUGGCGGCAUGCUUUACACAUGCAAGUCGAACGGCAGCGCGGGGCAACCUGGCGGCGAGUGGCGAACGGGUGAGUAAUACAUCGGAACGUACCCAGAAGUGGGGGAUAACGUAGCGAAAGUUACGCUAAUACCGCAUACGUUCUACGGAAGAAAGUGGGGGACCUUCGGGCCUCAUGCUUUUGGAGCGGCCGAUGUCUGAUUAGCUAGUUGGUGAGGUAAAGGCUCACCAAGGCGACGAUCAGUAGCUGGUCUGAGAGGACGACCAGCCACACUGGGACUGAGACACGGCCCAGACUCCUACGGGAGGCAGCAGUGGGGAAUUUUGGACAAUGGGCGCAAGCCUGAUCCAGCAAUGCCGCGUGAGUGAAGAAGGCCUUCGGGUUGUAAAGCUCUUUUGUCAGGGAAGAAACGGCCGGGGCUAAUACCUUUGGCUAAUGACGGUACCUGAAGAAUAAGCACCGGCUAACUACGUGCCAGCAGCCGCGGUAAUACGUAGGGUGCAAGCGUUAAUCGGAAUUACUGGGCGUAAAGCGUGCGCAGGCGGUUUUGUAAGUCUGACGUGAAAUCCCCGGGCUCAACCUGGGAAUUGCGUUGGAGACUGCAAGGCUGGAGUCUGGCAGAGGGGGGUAGAAUUCCACGUGUAGCAGUGAAAUGCGUAGAGAUGUGGAGGAACACCGAUGGCGAAGGCAGCCCCCUGGGUCAAGACUGACGCU